rnacentral:sRNA from 1 species
GCCGGGUGUGGUGGCUCACACCUGUAAUCCCAGCACUUUGGGAGGCUGAGGUGGGCGGAUCAUCUGAGGUCAGGAGUUCGAGACUAUCCUGGCUAACAUAGUGAAACCAUGUCUAAAAAAACACAGAAAAAUUGGCCAGGCACAGCGGCUCACGCCUGUAAUCCCAGCACUUUGGGAGGCUGAGGCAGGCAGAUCACAAGGUCAGGAGAUCGAGACCAUCCUGGCUAACAUGGUGAAACCCCAUCUCU